AAAUGCAGCAGUUACAUGUAGAAGUGAAACUGUUCUCUGGUCAUAGCAGAUUGCAGAAAACAGCUUUCAUGCCUCUUAGGAUAAAGAAACAGUCUCAAAAUUCAAUGUAAAGAAGCUCUCUUCAGAGCCUCAAGGCCGAAGGGAGCCACAACAAGGAGGCUGAAGAGCCGCAUGCGGCUCCAGAGCCGCCGGUUGCAGACCCCUGCACUAGGGGCAGUGAAGCCUGUGUUCCAAUCAGGGGGAUCCAUUACCCUUUCACGUCAGAGAGGAUAACAAGCAGCUAGAAAAGCGUUUCUGAAUUCAUUUCAACUGCACACCCCACUGAAAGAAUCCAAAGACCAUACAACUUGGCCAUAAUUACAGGAGCUAAACUGUUCCCAAACUUGUUCUAAUUGAAUUAAACCAUGUUAACAGUA